AGUUGGGAGAGCCAGGCUGGGGCUCCGGCAGGCCCAGGGAAAUUUCCCUUUCUAGGCUCUUUAUUAAAAAAUUUAAAAGGAGGAGUUGAGGUGCCUUGAAUUUUCCUUCGCGAGUUUGGAGACCAGCCGAUUUUUCAUGAAGCAAGCAAAGACCGCGGUCCCGGAUCCUGCAACAUAUACCUCAUUUUCUCCAGGCCUCUCCACUUGCCCGAGCUCUCAGCCACCAGGAGACAGACGGAAGGGGCUUCUGGGCUGCGUUGGGAGCAGGCACUGUCCCCUACCCACUCCUGCACAGUUUCCCAAAGUCCAGCGACCUCCGACCCUCCUUGGGGGAAAAAUACCAGUACCCAGACACCUCUGCACCCUGUUAUAUGACUGGGCUUGCUUCAGGAAUAUCUUACAAAGAAGAAGAAGAAGGAGGAGGAGGAACGGCUUGGAGUCAUGUUUACAUCUAGUUCUACUGAUCCGUUCACAUCUGGAGAGUUUAUUUAUAACUCCCUCUAUAACUCUCUGUUUGGAGGCACUGGUGGCUCUACUGACAGACUGAUGUCUAGGAAAUAUUGCUCUAUGUCUAACGUACCUAAAUGUGCUGUGGUUGUAUUUACAGAUUUACGUUUGAGGGAAAUAUAAUUAUUUCCAUUGUAUUUGUGCAUAUACAGUAGUUAUAGGAGCAGAUUUAUAUAUGGGAAAAUAUACGACUCUCUUACAGCCA